GUUUUCCUUAGGUCUUUGUUGGCGUCAGCUACCUGGAUUUGCUGCCUGAUCAGAAUAACGGAACCAUGACAUCCCAUCAUGCCUGUGGGAUGCUAGUUUUCCUCAGUGUAUUCCUGAUUUCAUAUACACCACAAUGCAAUGGAGGAAGUAUUCUUGUGGUUCCUGUAGAUGGCAGCCACUGGCUCAAUAUGAAACUCUUGGUAGAAGAACUUCAUGCUAGGGGACACAAUCUCACUGUGAUCAGGACCUCCAGGAGCUGGUACAUCCCUGAAAAGUCUGAUCUAUACACAUCCAUUACAAUUGAAAUGGCUCUAGAUUAUGAGCAGUAUUUAGAUGUGUUCCUACAGGAGCAGAUACAGGUGCAAAGAGAGGGAGGACCAUUGGCUUUCUUCAAACUCACCAAGGGUUUAAUGUCUAUGCUUUCUCGUGGCCAUUCACUUUGGUAUGAUGCUUUGAAAAAUAUUUUUGUUGAUCAAAAUAUGAUCAAAGGAUUAAGAGAUUCCCAGUAUGAUCUGGUUCUAACUGAUCCAGCUUUAGCCCCAGGGCUUAUUCUAGCCAAAUAUCUCAAGCUCCCCUUA